CAUGGAGAGUUUGAUCCUGGCUCAGGGCGAACGCUGGCGGCGUGCCUAACACAUGCAAGUCGGACGCGAAAGGCUCCUUCGGGGGCCCGGUAGCGUGGCGAACGGGUGAGUAACACGUGGGUAACCUAC
rnacentral:rRNA from 1 species